AUUUACAGCCAUGACUGUAGUUUGUACUGCUUUAUGAGUAGCCAUAUUUUAAAGGCUUGUGUACUUUGCUUAAAUUGUACUGUGGUUGGAAUUGUGACCACCACUAAUUCCACCAUUGAGAUAUAGUCCAAUAUUGUACUGUAUCUGCUUUACAUACUGGCAUCAGCCAAACUGUCAAUCAACCCAUGACAGUGCGCGUCAUCGCACCACGAGGAUGCUGCCGAUCUGCAACUGCCGAACAGAGAAGCGCUGCAGUCCACCUAACUGAAUCCCAUCACCAUCCGCACUGCGAACCUGAGAGACAGCUGAGUCUCCAGCAGCGCUCUCUCUGCCAAGAGAUCCGGGACGUGGACUACAACUAAAGUGCAUCACAAGGCUGAAGGCUCUGUGACGUCCCAACACCAGGAAGCAGUAAGAACAGCAGAGGACAGGGAGGCCGGUUCCUUAGCAAUGGGGAAACGGAGGACGAAGGCUCAAGGUUGCGAUGAAAACAAAUGAAGUGCAGUCCUUUAGAUGGGCUGCUGGGGCUGCUGCUGCUACUAUACUACCACAUGCUGUAAGUCACUGUUGUCCAUCACUCUGGAGGUUAUUUAGGCUUUUAAACAAGCAAUGUUAGAAAAAAAAGA